UGAUCUUAGUUGUUUCACCAGGAGUUUUUCCUGUAUUUUGGACAUUUUGUCAAGUAUGAAAAACCCAAUGUUACUCAAGUAUGAAUACACUUUACAGACAAAUAACACUCAUCAUUUAUGAGCCAUUUACGGGACAAACUAACAGUAUCAAUGUAACAAUUUUUAGACCAUACCAAUGCAAAUGGAAAAUAUUCACGGAAAAAAGAAAGCCAUACAUAUUUGGAGCGAUAUGGGGAUGAUGAGUGCAGUUAUGAUGAGAACAGCCACACACAGUAACACCAGCACACUGAUAACUACAGACAGACUGAGGGAUCCUGGGUCACAUUCAGCCACAUCUGAAUAUGGGGGCGGAAAAAUAACAGUGAGAUAAUCAGCAGGAAAAUAAAUUUUUCUUCUGCGCUGAUCACUAAACUCUUCCUCAUCUGGUAAGUUCCAUCUCUGUUGGGCAGAAUCUCUCCUCCUGUGAUCUGAUCAUCAUCCACAGGCUGACCAUCUCUGAACAGAGUCAGGUUAAUGUGACGGGGGUAAAAACCAG